rnacentral:rRNA from 1 species
UACGAAGGGGGCUAGCGUUGUUCGGAAUCACUGGGCGUAAAGCGCACGUAGGCGGAUUGUUAAGUCGGGGGUGAAAUCCUGAGGCUCAACCUCAGAACUGCCUUCGAUACUGGCAAUCUCGAGUCCGGAAGAGGUUGGUGGAACAGCUAGUGUAGAGGUGAAAUUCGUAGAUAUUCGCAGGAACACCAGUGGCGAAGGCGGCUUACUGGUCCAUAACUGACGCUGAGGUGCGAAAGCGUGGGGAGCAAACAGG